rnacentral:rRNA from 1 species
UAGUCCUACGGGAGGCAGCAGUGAGGAAUAUUGGUCAAUGGGCUUACGCCUGAACCAGCCAAGUCGCGUGAGGGAAGCCUGCCCUAUGGGUUGUAAACCUCUUUUGUCAGGGAGCAAUUGGCGCUACGUGUAGCGUUAUCGAGAGUACCUGAAGAAAAAGCAUCGGCUAACUCCGUGCCAGCAGCCGCGGUAAUACGGAGGAUGCGAGCGUUAUCCGGAUUUAUUGGGUUUAAAGGGUGCGCAGGCGGUCUGUUAAGUCAGCGGUCAAAGCCCGGGGCUCAACCCCGGCCCGCCGUCGAAACUGG